AAAGAAGUGUUAGAAUAGAUCCAAUUUUAAGUUCUUAACCCUCUCACUAUGGCUAGCAACAGCAAGGCUCUGAUCAUUGUCCUUUUCUGUCUCUUCUUACUCUCGACUCAACCCAUCGUACUUUCAACAGCGAGAAAGAUCCUGGGAGCAAAUGAAUUUGGAAGUAAUGACAAAAAAUAUGCUGCAAGGAAAUUAGAAGGCGAAUAUUCCCCAGAUCUCCCUCCGUAUUACCCAACUGUACCAAUUGGCGGACUCCCAGAUCCUUCGACUUUGCCCUGAUUUUGAGAUCGUCAAACCAUUUCAUGGAAGUUGAUUGACAUCUCCUUCUAAAGCUGGUCCAUUAUUGCUACUUGAAUAAAUUAAAUCCCUUAUGCUACAUUUGUAGCAUAACAUUGUAUAUUAAGUUGAAAAUCAUUAUGAAAAUAAAUUUUCAGUAUCUUGAAAAUAGGAAUGUAGAAACUUCAAGUUUAAUUGAGCUA